rnacentral:rRNA from 1 species
AGAGUUUGAUCCUGGCUCAGGACGAACGCUGGCGGCGUGCUUAACACAUGCAAGUCACGGGGGCCCAGCAAUGGGCAACCGGCGAACGGGUGCGUAACACGUGAGCAAUCUGCCGAUUUCUGGGGGAUAGCCGGCCCAACGGCCGGGUAAUACCGCAUACGUUCUCGAGGGGGAGUCCUCUUGAGAAGAAACCUCCGGGGGAAAUCGAGGAGCUCGCGGCCUAUCAGCUAGUUGGCGGGGUAACGGCCUACCAAGCCUUUGACGGGUAGCUGGUCUGUGAGGACGAUCAGCCAGACUGGGACUGCGAGACGGCCCAGACACCUACGGGUGGCAGCAGCGAGGAAUCUUCCGCAAUGGGCGCAAGCCUUACGGAGCAACGCCGCGUGGAGGACGACGGCCUUCGGGUUGUAAACUCCUUUCGGGGGGGACGAGAAGGACGGUACCCCCAGAAGCAGCCCCGGCUCACUCUGUGCCAGCAGCCGCGGUAAGACAGAGGGGGCAAGCGUUGUCCGGAUUCAUUGGGCGUAAAGAGCUCGUAGGCGGUUCGGUAAGUCGGGUGUGAAACCUCCAGGCUCAACCUGGAGACGCCACCCGAUACUGCCGUGACUAGAGUCCAGUAGGGGAGCGUGGAAUUCCUGGUGUAGCGGUGAAAUGCGCAGAUAUCAGGAGGAACACCAGCGGCGAAGGCGGCGCUCUGGGCUGGAACUGACGCUGAGGAGCGAAAGCGUGGGGAGCGAACAGGAUUAGAUACCCCGGUAGUCC